rfam:Alcanivorax borkumensis SK2, complete genome
UGCUUCCUGGCCUGUGCGCCAGAGGGUCAGGUCCCUGAGCCGAUAAUGUACUACCCGGGGGCAUAUAUUGCCUUGCCCAUGUGCAUGUCCGCCUAUUGAGCGGAAAGCCUGAGGGCAAUGCUGCUGCCUCCACCUUGAACCUUCGGUUCAAGGGUCAAACCCACAGCGGCAGACCGGGAAGCAC